rnacentral:rRNA from 1 species
AUCUAUGGCCAUGCCGCCCUGAAUAUGCCGGAUCUCGUCUGACCUCAGAAGCUAAGCAGGGUCGGGUCUGGUUAGCACUUGGAUGGGAGACCACCUAGGAAGACCAGGUGCUGUAGGUG